rnacentral:lncRNA from 1 species
GAAGAUAGGUCGAGUGCUCUGUGAAGUACAGCACUGGAAAAGGAAGCCAUGGGCACGCUUGGAAAAUGCUGAGCUGCUUGUGAAGCUACACUGCAUGUUUAUGACUUGGUUUUCUAAGCAAUCUCCAGAGCUUGAACGGAUUACAGUGAUACUUUAACAAGGCUGCUGCAUCCAUCACCAGCUUUCAGUCAGUGAGAAAGCUAAAAGAUGGAAGAAUGUAAUUAUUUCCGCAUAAGCUAAGUGUUAGUGACUGAUUAUCAUGAGAACUUUGAUGCUUUAAACUUCUUCAUCCUCUGAAGGCAAGCAGUCCCUCUGAUGACACCGCGAAUCUGGGAAUGAAGAACUUCUUAGAGCUGAUUGGAAAUGGCAUUGCAGAGCUGAAACUUAACUGGAGGAAAUAUAUCUCCUGAAGAAGAAAAUAUAAUGCACUGUAAGGAUCUGUCUUCUGGUGAAAAAUUCAAGCCUAGAGAAAACUUGUCUGCUUUGUUAGGAAGAAUGGGUUGGACAAUUUUCUUCAAUUCCAAAGGAUAUCUGAAUGCCAUGCUGAGCUUAAUCUCUGCAGCAUGCUCUGUGCUUCUCAUCUCUUCCUGAUGCACUGCAUGGUUAUUCUGAAGGGAAGGAUAAAGAAACUGGCCACCAAGAUGGUAAUCACUAGUGGAAAUGAAGAAGAUAAAGGCAGUCAAGAAAAGGAAAGCAAAGAAGAAACCAUCUUGGCAAUGCUUGGAAUUAUUGGGACAAUUCUGAACCUCAUUGUGAUCAUUUUUGUGUAUAUUUAUACAACGUUGUAAACUAGAAGGCAUGCAAAUAGACCAGAUAAAAUGGCCAUUAAGAGUGACAACAAACAUUGCUGACUAUUGACAAGUUCUUUAAUCAGAAUUGACUCUGUAUUAUAUUAACACAUCAUAAAAGCACUGCCUGAAGGCAGCGAAGACUGAAGCACAAUUAAUUUAACAAGACUUUUUCACACAGUAAUAAGCUUAACUCUUCUUCCUGCCCUCUCCCUUUCUGUUUGGUUUUCAGUUUGGGGGAGAAUGACUGCAGUUAUAUAAGUUGUAGCUUUGAAGAAAUCCACCAGGGAUAUGUUGUUUUAAAACAAUAAAAAAAAAAAAGAAAAGAAAAUAAAAUACA